UGGGGAAUAUUGGACAAUGGGCGCAAGCCUGAUCCAGCAAUGCCGCGUGAGUGAUGAAGGCCUUAGGGUUGUAAAGCUCUUUUACCAGGGAUGAUAAUGACAGUACCUGGAGAAUAAGCUCCGGCUAACUCCGUGCCAGCAGCCGCGGUAAUACGGAGGGGGCUAGCGUUGUUCGGAAUUACUGGGCGUAAAGCGCACGUAGGCGGAUUGAUCAGUCAGGGGUGAAAUCCCGGGGCUCAACCCCGGAACUGCCUUUGAUACUGUCAAUCUAGAGAUCGAGAGAGGUGAGUGGAAUUCCGAGUGUAGAGGUGAAAUUCGUAGAUAUUCGGAGGAACACCAGUGGCGAAGGCGGCUCACUGGCUCGAUACUGACGCCGAGGUGCGAAAGCGUGGGGAGCAAACAGGAUUAGAUACCCCCGUAGUCC
rnacentral:rRNA from 1 species